rnacentral:misc_RNA from 1 species
CAAAUAAGCCGGACUUCUUCCUAAUUACUCUCAAGUCCCAAUCUAACCGUCACAGCGAAUUAGAGCCGUCACAUAAAGUCGCUCCACAACAUUAAAAAAUUCGAUAGUCCACUUGGUAAUAUUGCUCAAAAUUCUAAAUUCCUGCCCAAUCAAAUGAAUUCUAGUCCCAAUAUUAGUUGAGGCAGUCAUCAUCCUCUAAAGAACCAUUUGCUUUGAUUCAUGGUGGCAGUUUAGAGUUCAUCAUGGCCCUGUGGUUGUU